UGUACAUGCUGUUUCACAGUGUUUUCCCAGAAUCCACCCAGUGUUUUAUAGAGGAAAACAGUAAUGAAGAACUGAGAGAUCCGCCUUUUGGGGAAAUAAUACACUACAACAUGGGAAGUCAUAGACCCUCACCCACUUGAGAGGAACCUAUUCCGGCUCCAGUCAGUCAACCUGGGAGCAAGCAGGAGCGUUUCAGCUUCAUUUUCAUUU
rnacentral:lncRNA from 1 species